CAUAGGUAACUAAUUGUAUGCCAGACCAGGUUUGGACACUUCUGAUGUGGUUCUGAGGCUCAGCUGAGAUAAGCUUUCUGGGUCCCUAAACAAGACUGGCCAAAUAUUGGUGACUGGCUGGCAGCAUGUGCUCUCACAAAACCUUGGGAUUCUUUUAUGUGGAGAUAGCAUUGCAUGCAUGUGAGGUUCGUUCUGACAUCAUAAAGUCUGCUUUAGAAUCUGCUCCUAGGGAGAAGCCACUGAGCUCUGGCAUGUUUCACGGACAUCAUGUUCCACACCCCCAGGAGGAGAAGAUUAUAAGCAAACAUGAAAACUCUCACAUGACUGGGCCUGUCCUCUCUUGCACCUUUCCCAUCAUCAUGACAGCAUACCCAGGCUGGCCUGAUGGAGGAUGGUCAUUACCCCCAUCACCUCAACUAAGGCCAGCCAACAGCUGCCCUCCAGGCAUGUGUGAGAGAGGCUCAGCCAAGACCAGAAGAGCCACCCAGCUGGGCCUAGCCUAAAUCACUGACCCACAGACUCAUGAUCUAAAUAAAGGGCUUUUUGGUUUGUUUCUCAA